UUUCAUAAUAUUUAUAAAAUACAAAUUCAAUUUUCAAGAUACAAUUUAAUUACCUUUUACAUUUGAUAUAAAUGUCUCUCUCUCUUCCUUUAUGCAACUCACAUGGGGUUAUUUGGUAGUUCCACACAUAGUGAGGUUAUAUGGUGUAGAAAAGUGCUUAAAUGGUGACCCCACUUGUUGCUUUGCUUCUCUAGUUAUCCCAAUAAUACAAACAGCUCCAUGAUUAGUAGUAUUUCCUGAUGAACACAACUUCAAAUGUACGAUCAGGAGCUUGCAAUUGAUUGAUUGUCCUCGAAGUUGGGCACACAAUCACACAUGGGUUUUGUUCAUCAUGCAAUGCUAUUUUACAUUAUUUCCCACCACCAACUCAUGAGCCAGGGUAAAAGGAUAAGCACAAUUUUUCUGCUCAGUUUUUGGUCUUCCUCUUUGCAUAUUCAAUACAUAUAUUCUGGUGUUAAUCAACUUAUACACGUGCUUCACUUCAUAUUAGGAUCCAAUCCGAAUAGCUAGUUUUGUAUGUUAUGGUUUGAAGUUGUGGGACUCUCAUCUCAUGGAUCAGAUACCAUAAGUUCAUACAAGUAGGAUUAAAAGAAGAUUUGAAAAUAGCAUUAAUGUAAAAUAAGCAUGAAAUACAAUAAUCUUACUAUAGUUUAAAUGUGGAAAAUUAAUUUUAUUAUCUGUUAAUUUAAUUUUGAGAAGUACCUGUAUUACGGUUGGUAUUACGAUCGAUAUUACGGUAGUAAAUGAGAUUUUGAAACAUAGGAAUAAACACAUCUUUAAAAAUAAAGUAAUUGAUCAUUCUAAAAA
rnacentral:lncRNA from 1 species